GGGGAAUAUUGCACAAUGGGCGCAAGCCUGAUGCAGCGACGCCGCGUGAGGGAUGACGGCCUUCGGGUUGUAAACCUCUUUCAGUAGGAAAGAAGCGAAAGUGACGGUACCUGCAGAAGAAGCGCCGGCUAACUACGUGCCAGCAGCCGCGGUAAUACGUAGGGCGCGAGCGUUAUCCGGAAUUAUUGGGCGUAAAGAGCUCGUAGGCGGUUUGUCGCGUCUGCCGUGAAAGUCCGGGGCUUAACCCCGGAUCUGCGGUGGGUACGGGCAGACUAGAGUGCAGUAGGGGAGACUGGAAUUCCUGGUGUAGCGGUGAAAUGCGCAGAUAUCAGGAGGAACACCGAUGGCGAAGGCAGGUCUCUGGGCAUUAACUGACGCUGAGGAGCGAAAGCAUGGGGAGCGAACAGGAUUAGAUACCCUGGUAGUCCAUGCCGUAAACGUUGGGCACUAGGUGUGGGGGACAUUCCACGUUUUCCGCGCCGUAGCUAACGCAUUAAGUGCCCCGCCUGGGGAGUACGGCCGCAAGGCUAAAACUCAAAGGAAUUGACGGGGGCCCGCACAAGCGGCGGAGCAUGCGGAUUAAUUCGAUGCAACGCGAAGAACCUUACCAAGGCUUGACAUGAACCGGUAACGCCUGGAAACAGGUGCCCCGCUUGCGGUCGGUUUACAGGUGGUGCAUGGUUGUCGUCAGCUCGUGUCGUGAGAUGUUGGGUUAAGUCCCGCAACGAGCGCAACCCUCGUUCUAUGUUGCCAGCACGUGAUGGUGGGGACUCAUAGGAGACUGCCGGGGUCAACUCGGAGGAAGGUGGGGACGACGUCAAAUCAUCAUGCCCCUUAUGUCUUGGGCUUCACGCAUGCUACAAUGGCCGGUACAAAGGGUCGCGAUACUGUGAGGUGGAGCUAAUCCCAAAAAGCCGGUCUCAGUUCGGAUUGGGGUCUGCAACUCGACCCCAUGAAGUCGGAGUCGCUAGUAAUCGCAGAUCAGCAACGCUGCGGUGAAUACGUUCCCGGGCCUUGUACACACCGCCA
rnacentral:rRNA from 1 species